rnacentral:lncRNA from 1 species
AAUUGCAUUCAUUUUCCUUUUUAAUGUUUUCCCUUUAUUUUUUACUUUUUUAGAUAAUUUAAUUUAAUUUAGAUGCUUUUGAACUUGAUAUAGGUUCAUGGAAGCUUAAGCCUCAGGUUUUGAGACCAUCAGCGGAUUAGACGAAGAAUUGAGGCAAGGUAUAGCAAAAAAGAAGAAGCUUGGAGCUUCGACAUAGCAUUUUGGCACCCUUGCACGCGAGCAGCGAUGCCCUAGCAUGGGAAGUGGUCAAGCUUCCCACUUCCUUUUUAAUGUUUUCCCUUUAUUUUUUACUUUUUUAGAUAAUUUAAUUUAAUUUAGAUGCUUUUGAACUUGACAUAGGUUCAUGGAAGCUUAAGCCUCAGGUUUUGAGAAAAUCGGCAGAUUAGACGAAGAAUUGAGGCAAGGUAUAGCAAAAAACAAGAAGCUUGGAGCUUCGACAUAGCAUUUUGGCACCCUUGCACGCGAGCAGCGAUGCCCUAGCAUGGGAAGUGGUCAAGCUUCGUUGGCGCCCCCACGCCGCCUGGCACUCCAAUGCCAAAGGCCACACACCCCUAUGGCAAUAUCGGCACUUUAGUGUCGAUUCCCUCCGUUUUGGCUCACAAUUCCAUGUUUUAAUCGUGUCUGAAGGACAUUUUGGUCAUUUAUGAUUUUUAUGAUCUAAAUCAAGUUUAACUAACCUAAUUUAAGUUGAACAAAUAUUAUAAAUAUCCGAUUUUGAUAGGAAGUUAGGACUUUUGGUUGUUUAGAGACUGAAUAGUUGCGUUGUUUACUUUGUGUUCUUUCAAUUUUAUUUCUUACUAAAUCCCCUUUUUUAGUCAAAGAUUUUAUCGAAGUUUGAUUUAAUGAAUUUGUGAGACUUAUUCAUGCUUUAA